rnacentral:rRNA from 1 species
GACGAACGCUGGCGGCGUGCCUAACACAUGCAAGUCGAGCGAGUGAAUCUCCUUCGGGAGUGAAGCUAGCGGCGGACGGGUGAGUAACACGUGGGCAACCUGCCUCAUAGAGGGGAAUAGCCUUUCGAAAGGAAGAUUAAUACCGCAUAAGAUUGUAGCUUCGCAUGAAGUAGCAAUUAAAGGAGCAAUCCGCUAUGAGAUGGGCCCGCGGCGCAUUAGCUAGUUGGUGAGGUAACGGCUCACCAAGGCGACGAUGCGUAGCCGACCUGAGAGGGUGAUCUGCCACAUUGGGACUGAGACACGGCCCAGACUCCUACGGGAGGCAGCAGUGGGGAAUAUUGCACAAUGGGGGAAACCCUGAUGCAGCAACGCCGCGUGAGUGAUGACGGCCUUCGGGUUGUAAAGCUCUGUCUUCAGGGACGAUAAUGACGGUACCUGAGGAGGAAGCCACGGCUAACUACGUGCCAGCAGCCGCCGUAAUAC